rnacentral:sRNA from 1 species
GGAUAGCCCUGAUGGGAGUGGCAUCCUUUUGUGGAUCCCGUUUUUUAACGGGAGGAACAAAAGAUACAACGGACAGCAGGAACAAGG